rnacentral:rRNA from 1 species
AUACGGAGGAUCCGAGCGUUAUCCGGAUUUAUUGGGUUUAAAGGGUGCGCAGGCGGCCAUUUAAGUCAGCGGUUAAAUCGUGGGGCUCAACCCCAUUCUGCCGUUGAUACUGGGUGGCUUGAUUGCGGUCGAGGUUGGCGGAAUUCGUUGUGUAGCGGUGAAACGCAUAGAUAUGACGAAGAACACCGAUUGCGUAGGCAGCUGACCAGAUCGCAAAUGACGCUCAUGCACGAAAGUGCGGGGAUCGAACAGGAUUAGAUACCCUGGUAGUCCGCACAGUAAACGAUGAAUACUUGUUUUCGGCGAUAUAAUGUCGGAGGCAAAGCGAAAGCGAUAAGUAUUCCACCUGGGGAGUACGCCGGCAACGGUGAAACUCAAAUGAAUUGACGGGG